CUGCUGCCUUCCGUAGGAGUCUGGGCCGUGUCUCGGUCCCAGUGUGGCCGUCCACCCUCUCAGGCCGGCUGCUGAUCGUCGCUUUGGUGGGCCGUUACCCCGCCAACUGGCUAAUCAGACGCGGGCCCAUCCUGUACCACCGGAGUUUUCAAAGGAUUACCAUGCGGUAUUCCCUAUUAUGCGGUAUUAGCACCUAUUUCUAAGUGUUAUCCCCCGGUACAGGGCAGGUUGCCCACGCGUUACUCGCCCGUCCGCCACUAAGACAGA
rnacentral:rRNA from 1 species